GGCGGGCCCCGAGGAGCGGGCCGGGCCGGUCACGUUGCUGUGUUUUGCUCUCGCAAUCCUGCCCUGCUCGGCGAUCGGCGUGGUUUGCGUCUGGAAGGUUUUUCACGGCUGGGAGCAAAAGCCGUAUGAACGUUAAGCGAAAUGCUUUGUUUUGCGAGACCCUUCAGAGAAAACACGAGGGUGAAAGAUCUUGCUUUUACUAUUUGGAGGUUGAUUUACCAUGAAAAGAAACAACAUCGUCAAAUGAUAACUGGGGAUUAUAAGAAGAGUUGCAAACAACCAGUAGAAGAAAAGAAGAAUCAAUUAUACCUUAUAGAUUCAGGCUGUAGUGUGAGAAGGUCAGAUGUACCACUAAUUUAAACUUGGUGAGGUUUUUUUCCCAUUCUUUUACUUUUAUAAUGUUUUUCCCACUAUGUUUUACUUGUUCUGAGUAGUUUGAAAGUACGUGGAUAAUGUUAGAUGAUAAUGUGUUUAGAAGCGCUACCAAAGUUCUCAUAUUGCAUUGAAAUAUUAAGGUGUAGCAUGUUUUAUUUGUUUUUUUUAAAUAAUGAUAAAAUUGUCAU